AGCGAACGCUGGCGGCAGGCCUAACACAUGCAAGUCGAACGAACUCUUCGGAGUUAGUGGCGGACGGGUGAGUAACACGUGGGAACGUGCCUUUAGGUUCGGAAUAACUCAGGGAAACUUGUGCUAAUACCGAAUGUGCCCUUCGGGGGAAAGAUUUAUCGCCUUUAGAGCGGCCCGCGUCUGAUUAGCUAGUUGGUGAGGUAAAGGCUCACCAAGGCGACGAUCAGUAGCUGGUCUGAGAGGAUGAUCAGCCACAUUGGGACUGGGACACGGCCCAAACUCCUACGGGAAGCAGCAGUGGGGAAUCUUGCGCAAUGGGCGAAAGCCUGACGCAGCCAUGCCGCGUGAAUGAUGAAGGUCUUAGGAUUGUAAAAUUCUUUCACCGGGGACGAUAAUGACGGUACCCGGAGAAGAAGCCCCGGCUAACUUCGUG
rnacentral:rRNA from 1 species